rnacentral:rRNA from 1 species
UACGUAGGGGGCAAGCGUUGUCCGGAAUUAUUGGGCGUAAAGAGCGCGUAGGCGGUCCGAUAAGUCGGCUGUGAAAGUCAUGGGCUCAACCCAUGAAAGCCGGCCGAUACUGUCGGACUAGAGUCCGGAAGAGGCAAGUGGAAUUCCCGGUGUAGCGGUGAAAUGCGCAGAUAUCGGGAGGAACACCAAUUGCGAAGGCAGCUUGCUGGGACGGUACUGACGCUGAGGAGCGAAAGCGUGGGGAGCGAACAGG